GAAGCCGCCACAUUGAGACUGCAAAUACUCAACGGAAAAAUAACCUCCAACGAUCUAGGAAGAUGUAACCCGUACGUAGAUAGUGACACAAGAUCUGUCGCCAUCCCGCCACUGUAAAACCGCUUUGGAGGAGGAAGAAGAUAACCGAGCUUGAGUUUGUUGAAGAGGCUUCAGUCUUAGUUGUGAGAGAGAAAAAAGCGGUAGGGAGUAGAUAAGGAAACCAUCAACGGUGGCAUAGCAUCGUCGGACCACAUACGAUCUCUCCCGUCACUGACUGCCCUGUGAGACCUUAUGUGUCGCCAGACCCCAAACCUAACUAUGACCCUCUUUCGUUCGUUGCCG